AGAGUUUGAUCCUGGCUCAGGAUGAACGCUGGCGGCGUGCCUAACACAUGCAAGUCGAGCGAUUCUCUUCGGAGAAGAGCGGCGGACGGGUGAGUAACGCGUGGGUAACCUGCCCUGUACACACGGAUAACAUACCGAAAGGUAUGCUAAUACGGGAUAAUAUAUAAGAGUCGCAUGACUUUUAUAUCAAAGAUUUUUCGGUAUAGGAUGGACCCGCGUCUGAUUAGCUUGUUGGCGGGGUAACGGCCCACCAAGGCGACGAUCAGUAGCCGACCUGAGAGGGUGAUCGGCCACAUUGGAACUGAGACACGGUCCAAACUCCUACGGGAGGCAGCAGUGGGGAAUUUUGCGCAAUGGGCGGAAGCCUGACGCAGCAACGCCGCGUGCGGGAUGAAGGCCUUCGGGUUGUAAACCGCUUUCAGCAGGGAAGAAACUGACUGUACCUGCAGAAGAAGCUCCGGCUAACUACGUGCCAGCAGCCGCGGUAAUACGUAGGGAGCGAGCGUUAUCCGGAUUUAUUGGGCGUAAAGCGCGCGUAGGCGGCUUGCCAAGCGGGAUCUCAAACCUGAGGGCUCAACCCCCAGCCGGAUCCCGAACUGGCAGGCUCGAGUUCGGUAGAGGAAGAUGGAAUUCCCAGUGUAGCGGUGAAAUGCGCAGACAUUGGGAAGAACACCGAUGGCGAAGGCAGUCUUCUGGGCCGCAACUGACGCUGAGGUGCGAAAGCUAGGGGAGCGAACAGGAUUAGAUACCCUGGUAGUCCUAGCCGUAAACGAUGGGCACUAGGUGUGGGGGAGACAUUCCUCCGUGCCGCAGCUAACGCAUUAAGUGCCCCGCCUGGGGAGUACGGCCGCAAGGCUAAAACUCAAAGGAAUUGACGGGGGACCCGCACAAGCGGUGGAGCAUGUGGUUUAAUUCGAAGCAACGCGAAGAACCUUACCAAGUCUUGACAUCCCCCUGACCGUUCCUUAACCGGAACUUUCCUUCGGGACAGGGGAGACAGGUGGUGCAUGGUUGUCGUCAGCUCGUGUCGUGAGAUGUUGGGUUAAGUCCCGCAACGAGCGCAACCCCUAUCCUCAGUAGCCAGCAGGUAGAGCUGGGCACUCAGUGGAGACUGCCAGGGAUAACCUGGAGGAAGGCGGGGAUGACGUCAAAUCAUCAUGCCCCUUAUGAUUUGGGCUACACACGUGCUACAAUGGCGUAAACAAAGGGAAGCGAGAUAGUGAUAUGGAGCAAAUCCCAAAAAUAACGUCCCAGUUCGGACUGUAGUCUGCAACCCGACUACACGAAGCUGGAAUCGCUAGUAAUCGCGGAUCAGAAUGCCGCGGUGAAUACGUUCCCGGGUCUUGCACACACCGCCCGUCA
rnacentral:rRNA from 1 species